UGCCAGCAUCCUCGGUAAUACGGAGGGUGCAAGCGUUAAUCGGAAUUACUGGGCGUAAAGCGCGCGUAGGUGGUUCAGUCAGUCAGAUGUGAAAGCCCCGGGCUCAACCUGGGAACUGCAUCUGAUACUGCUGGACUCGAGUACGGUAGAGGGUAGUGGAAUUUCCUGUGUAGCGGUGAAAUGCGUAGAUAUAGGAAGGAACACCAGUGGCGAAGGCGACUACCUGGACCGAUACUGACACCCAGAUGCGAAAGCGUGGGGAGCAAACAGGAUUAGAUA
rnacentral:rRNA from 1 species